rnacentral:rRNA from 1 species
GACGAACCGUGCGAACGUUGUUCGGAAUCACUGGGCUUAAAGGGCGCGUAGGCGGGCCAUAAAGUCAGGGGUGAAAUCCUCCAGCUUAACUGGAGAACUGCCUUUGAUACUGAUGGUCUCGAGUAAGGUAGGGGCAUGCGGAACUGAUGGUGGAGCGGUGAAAUGUGUUGAUAUCAUCAGGAACUCCGGUGGCGAAGGCGGCAUGCCUGGACCUUCACUGGACGCUGAGGCGCGAAAGCCAGGGGAGCAAACGGG